AUUGAACGCUGGCGGCAGGCCUAACACAUGCAAGUCGAACGGUAGCACAGAGAGCUUGCUCUCAGGUGACGAGUGGCGGACGGGUGAGUAAUGUCUGGGAAACUGCCCGAUGGAGGGGGAUAACUACUGGAAACGGUAGCUAAUACCGCAUAACGUCGCAAGACCAAAGUGGGGGACCUUCGCGCCUCACACCAUCGGAUGUGCCCAGAUGGGAUUAGCUAGUAGGUGGGAUAAUGGCUCACCUAGGCGACGAUCCCUAGCUGGUCUGAGAGGAGGCCCAGCCACACUGGAACUGAGACACGGUCCAGACUCCUACGGGAGGCAGCAGUGGGGAAUAUUGCACAAUGGGCGCAAGCCUGAUGCAGCCAUGCCGCGUGUAUGAAGAAGGCCUUCGGGUUGUAAAGUACUUUCAGCGGGGAGGAAGGCGGUGAAGUUAAUAGCUUCACCGAUUGACGUUACCCGCAGAAGAAGCACCGGCUAACUCCGUGCCAGCCGCCGCCGUAA
rnacentral:rRNA from 1 species